rnacentral:rRNA from 1 species
GAUGAACGCUGGCGGCGUGCUUAACACAUGCAAGUCGAGCGGUAAGGCCCCUUUCGGGGGUACACGAGCGGCGAACGGGUGAGUAACACGUGAGGAACCUGCCCCCCUCUCUGGGAUAACUCCGGGAAACCGGAGCUAAUACCGGAUACUCCGGCGAGAUCGCAUGGUCUUGUCGGGAAAGCUCCGGCGGAGGGGGAUGGCCUCGCGGCCCAUUAGCUAGUUGGUGGGGUAACGGCCUACCAAGGCUGCGAUGGGUAGCCGAGCUGAGAGGCUGAUCGGCCACACUGGGACUGAGACACGGCCCAGACUCCUACGGGAGGCAGCAGUGGGGAAUAUUGCGCAAUGGGCGAAAGCCUGACGCAGCAACGCCGCGUGCGGGAUGAAGGCCUUCGGGUUGUAAACCGCUUUCAGCAGGGACGAAACUGACGGUACCUGCAGAAGAAGCCCCGGCUAACUACGUGCCAGCAGCCGCGGUAAUACGUAGGGGGCUAGCGUUAUCCGGAUUCAUUGGGCGUAAAGCGCGCGUAGGCGGGCUGUUAAGUCAGGUGUGAAAACCGGGGGCUCAACCCGCGGCCUGCACCUGAAACUGGCAGCCUCGAGUCUGGUAGAGGAAAGUGGAAUUCCCAGUGUAGCGGUGAAAUGCGCAGAUAUUGGGAGGAACACCAGUGGCGAAGGCGGCUUUCUGGGCCACGACUGACGCUGAGGCGCGAAAGCUAGGGGAGCAAACA